rnacentral:misc_RNA from 1 species
GAUGAAGAACGUAGCGAAAUGCGAUAAGUAAUGUGAAUUGCAGAAUUCAGUGAAUCAUCGAAUCUUUGAACGCACCUUGCGCCCUUUGGCCAUUCCGAAGGGCAUGCCUGUUUGAGUAUCAUGAACACCUCAACUCUUCAUGGUUUUCCGUGAUGAGCUUGGACUUUGGGGGCCUUGCUGGCCUAUGGUCAGCUCCUCUAAAAUAAAUCAGCUUGCCAGUGUUUGGUGGGUAUCACAGGUGUGAUAACUAUCUACGCUUGUGGUUUUCCACCAGGUAACCUUCAGCAGUGGAGGUUCGCUGGAGCUCACAGAUGUGUCUCUCCUCAGUGAGGACAGCUCUUUGAAUGUUUGAUCUCAAAUCAGGUAGGACUACCCGCUGAACUUAAGCAUAUCAAUAAGCGGAGGA